GUUUUUAUAGUUUAAAAAAAACAUUGGUCUUGUAAUCCUAAAUUAAGUCUAUUACUUUAAAAACUU
rnacentral:tRNA from 1 species